ACUGUGACCCCGCGGCAACACCAGUGGUAUAUUUAGGAUUCGUCUUGGCGUGCGGAGUCACGGUGGAUGAUAGGAUUUAAAUGUGUACAGCGGUAAUAAAUAGACGAGACGUAUUUAAUUGCGCAAUAUAAACGAUGUAUACUAAAACGUAACGAUUAAUAAUAUACAUGCAUUUAUAACCCUUCUCUAGUUGGAGGAAUAGUUAGUGCAGUGUUUCUCAACCAUCGUGUCGAAAGAUAUAGGUGGGUGAUUUAGACGACGAUGAUCCAAGAUCUCUAUUGUGAAUAAAAUAACAAAUGGAAGUUAACGAUUUAACGAUCAAGAGGUAAGAGGAAAAAAGCAGGUAAUGUUGGAGUCAAUCUUCGAAGACAUAUUGAACGCAUAGUGUCGACUUCUACCGAAAAAUAUACAUUUAUUUGAAAAUUUAAAAGCUUACAAAAAGCUUAUUUUCUACGUCAUAUAGAACCGAAACAAAUGGAGUACGGCUUUGUAAGUAGGUAGCAGAAAAGAUGUGAAACAAAUACUAGGAUCUCAGACACAUUUGAUGUAAUGAUAAUAUGUGUAUAAGAUAUUCAAC